rnacentral:lncRNA from 1 species
AGCAGAGAAAAGAGGACAUAUCACUUACAUACAUCACAACCCAAAAAAAAUUAGAGAGAGAAAAAGAGUGCCAUCCCACAGCUAUCAGCACACAAUAUAUAUUCACAAUACAUACAACUAUCAAAAAUUAGGAAAUAUCACAUAUACGUGUAUCCCAAAUUAAAGAAUGUCAUACAAGUGCAAAGAAAAAAAACAACCAAGAACAAAAGUUUGCCACUCAAAGAGCAAAAGAAAAAAUGUAUACCCCCAGGUACAUUAUUCAUCCUAUUCAAGUAGUUGCAAAUUGAAAUUUGUUUUAACAUAUUUAAAUAUUUAUUAAACGCACCAGCAUGCAUUUUGUCAAGAUUUCAUAACAAGGCACCCUGAACAAAACUCCUUUUAUGCAAUGAACUAGUAAUAGCGAUGAUUUGAAUUACAUUAUGUUUCUGGUUUAGCUUGAUAAGCAAUAAAGGAUGAAAAAUGACAUUGCAAUACUUAGCAUUCUAAAACAUGCUUAAUCCAAAUCUUUUUUAUGUUAGAAUUUAGAAACCUCCGCGUAUAUUAGUACUACCCCUUUGUCACUACCAUGUCUUCUAAAAAAGGAAAACAUAAAAAAUAUUUUACAUUCACUGCUUCUGUUAAUCAAAGAAGAUAAGAAUAAGGAUAAUAUGGGUUUAUGAAAAAAUCAAAAAAGGACGGAAAUAGAAUCAAAACAGAAAGGAGAAGGAGAUAUUGUGUUCGUCGCUGAGAAGAGUAUGUCACCAUGAACCAUUGUCCUUUUCUUUACCCAUCUCGAACCAGAGUCACUUCGGGAUAAGAACUUCAGGAACCAGCAAUCGUGAUUCUUCUCCACCGGUUUGAAGCCGCCGGCAACCGGGCCAUUACUACUGCCGGGGUGAGAGGAGAAGAGAGUAGAAGAAAUGAAUUGUUUUAGGGAUUUCCAUCAAAUUAACCCCAUUCCCUUCUUUUGGGUCUGAUGGGG